rnacentral:rRNA from 1 species
GUCUUUUCGGGUAAUAAUUUAAAGUCUAGUCUGCCCACUGAUAAAUAUUAAAGGGCUGCAGUAUUUUGACUGUACAAAGGUAGCAUAAUCAUUAGUCUCUUAAUUGGUGACUUGUAUGAAAGAUUGGAUGAAAUAUGAACUGUCUCUAAAUAAUUUAUAAAACUUAAUUUUUUAGUCAAAAAGCUAAAAUAGAUUUAAAAGACGAGAAGACCCUAUAGAGUUUUAUAAUUUAUUUAAUUAUUAUUAAUAUAUAAAAUGUUAAAAUUAAAAUUAAAUAAAUUAUUUUAUUGGGGUGAUAGAAAAAUUUAAUUAACUUUUUAUAAAUAAAAUACAUUAAUAUAUGAAUAUAUGAUCCAUUUUUAAUGAUUAAAAGAAAAAAUUACCUUAGGGAUAACAGCGUAAUUUUUUUUUUUAGUUCAAAUAGGAAAAAAAGUUUGCGACCUCGAUGUUGGAUUAAGAUAAAAUUUAAAUGCAAAAGUUUAAAAUUUUGAUCUGUUCGAUCAUUAAAAUCUUACA